GUUGAAGUAUAUGAAGAAAACCCAGCCUCAGGUAUGUGGUUCAACAAGGAAAGACCUGCAGACCCUACUCUGAGAACAGCUUAGAGCACCUGGCAAGGCCUUGGGAAUAGUAGUGAAAUGAAGCCAGUGAGUCAGGAAAAUGAGCUGAUAGCUUUGAACAUCUCCCCCACCCUGGGCCCCAAAGGACUGGCCCAGGUAGGCUCAGGCCCCACUCCAGGGAUGGUCGAGAAAUGGGGGCAGAAACAGCCCACUCCUGGAGGUCAUAGGAGACAUGGACAGACCAGAGGAGCCUAAGGAGACAAGACAUCUAAAUGCAACGUGGGAUGCUGGAACAGAAAAGGACAUUGGUGGGAACACUGAAAAGAAAAACAUCAAGAAAUAGGUGCCUGGGACUUCCCUGGUGGUCCAGUGAGUAAGACUCCGCAGUCCCAAUGCAGGGGGCCCGUGUUGGAUCCCUCAUCCGGGAACUAGAUCCCACAUGCAUGCUGUAACUAAGAAGCCCACAUGCCACAACUAAAGAUCCCACAUGCAGCAACUAAAAGAUGCCGCAACGAAGAUCCCACGUGCUGCAACUAAGACCCGGCGCAGCCUACAUACAUAAAUAAAUAAACAAACAAACAAACCACAACUAAGACCUGGCACAGCCAAAAUAAAUAAA